GGAAAGCGGGCAGUGAGCGCAACGCAAUUAAUGUGAGUUAGCUCACUCAUUAGGCACCCCAGGCUUUACACUUUAUGCUUCCGGCUCGUAUGUUGUGUGGAAUUGUGAGCGGAUAACAAUUUCACACAGGAAACAGCUAUGACCAUGAUUACGCCAAGCUAUUUAGGUGACACUAUAGAAUACUCAAGCUAUGCAUCCAACGCGUUGGGAGCUCUCCCAUAUGGUCGACCUGCAGGCGGCCGCGAAUUCACUAGUGAUUGCCAACGGGAGGCAGCAGUGGGGAAUCUUAGACAAUGGGCGCAAGCCUGAUCUAGCCAUGCCGCGUGAGUGAUGAAGGCCUUAGGGUCGUAAAACUCUUUCGCCAGGGAUGAUAAUGACAGUACCUGGUAAAGAAGCCCCGGCUAACUCCGUGCCAGCAGCCGCGGUAAUACGGAGGGGGCUAGCGUUGUUCGGAAUUACUGGGCGUAAAGCGCGCGUAGGCGGACUAUUAAGUCAGGGGUGAAAUCCCGGGGCUCAACCCCGGAACUGCCUUUGAUACUGGUAGUCUUGAGUUCGAGAGAGGUGAGUGGAAUUCCGAGUGUAGAGGUGAAAUUCGUAGAUAUUCGGAGGAACACCAGUGGCGAAGGCGGCUCACUGGCUCGAUACUGACGCUGAGGUGCGAAAGUGUGGGGAGCAAACAGGAUUAGAUACCCUGGUAGUCCACACCGUAAACGAUGAAUGCCAGUCGUCGGCAAGCAUGCCUGUCGGUGACACACCUAACGGAUUAAGCAUUCCGCCUGGGGAGUACGGUCGCAAGAUUAAAACUCAAAGGAAUUGACGNNNNNCGAAUUCCCGCGGCCGCCAUGGCGGCCGGGAGCAUGCG
rnacentral:rRNA from 1 species